rnacentral:pre_miRNA from 1 species
UUUAAGUUUAGUUGUAAUUUCUGUCCAAUGCUUGACCAUUCGUUAUAUUUGAAUUUUGUUAUGAUUAGUGUUUUUUAUUAGAUGAUAAAACAUGAAUAUUAUUUUAUGUGUGAUUUUUUUAAUUUUUUAUUUUUUUAAAUAAGAUGGACGGUUAAACAUACACACAGAAACUGAUAGCUGCACUGGGA